GGUUAUGCCCGUAGCUCCUCUCUACACUUUGUGAUCUAUCUAUACCUCGUUGCUUCGCGCGGCGCCCGCGAGGGUGCCCGCCGGUCUCAUCAGAAUCUCUGUUUUCGAACCCGACGAUACUUCUGAGUGUUCUUAGCGAACUGUCAAAACUUUUAACAACGGAUCUCUUGGCUCCAGCAUCGAUGAAGAACGCAGCGAAACGCGAUAUGUAAUGUGAAUUGCAGAAUUCAGUGAAUCAUCGAAUCUUUGAACGCACAUGGCGCCUUCCAGUAUCCUGGGAGGCAUGCCUGUCCGAGCGUCGUUUCAACCCUCGAGCCCCCGUGGCCCGGCGUUGGGGAUCUGCCACGGCAGGCCCCUAAAACCAGUGGCGGACCCGAAAGGCCCUCUCCUUUGCGCAGUAGCAUUCGCCUCGCAUCGGGAGCCCUCGGCGUCCUGCCUCUAAACCCCCCACAAGCCCGCUCCGGCGGCACCAAGGUUGACCUCGGAUCAGGUAGGAAUACCCGCUGAACUUAAGCAUAUCAAUAAGCGGAGGAA
rnacentral:rRNA from 1 species